rnacentral:rRNA from 1 species
UACGUAGGGUGCAAGCGUUGUCCGGAAUUACUGGGCGUAAAGAGUUCGUAGGCGGUUUGUCGCGUCGUUUGUGAAAACCAGCAGCUCAACUGCUGGCUUGCAGGCGAUACGGGCAGACUUGAGUACUGCAGGGGAGACUGGAAUUCCUGGUGUAGCGGUGAAAUGCGCAGAUAUCAGGAGGAACACCGGUGGCGAAGGCGGGUCUCUGGGCAGUAACUGACGCUGAGGAGCGAAAGCAUGGGGGAGCGAACAGG